rnacentral:rRNA from 1 species
AGCAGCCGCGGUAAUUCCAGCUCCAAUAGCGUAUAUUAAAGUUGUUGCAGUUAAAAAGCUCGUAGUUGAAUUUCGGGAUCAAUAUAACGGUCAUGCCGUUGGUAUGCACUGUUAUAAUUGGUUUCUCACCUUCUAAAGAACCGUAAUGCCAUUAAUUUGGUGUCACGGGGAAUUAGGACUGUUACCUUGAAAAAAUUAGAGUGUUUAAAGCAGGCUCACGCUUGAAUACAUUAGCAUGGAAUAAUGAAAUAGGACAUCCGAUUCUAUUUUGUUGGUUUCUAGGAUCGAUGUAAUGAUUAAUAGGGAUAGUUGGGGGCAUUAGUAUUCAAUUGUCAGAGGUGAAAUUCUUGGAUUUAUUGAAGGCUAACUACUGCGAAAGCAUUUGCCAAGGAUGUUCUCAUUAAUCAAGAACGAAAGUUAGGGGAUCGAAGACGAUCAGAUACCGUCGUA